GAAAGCUGCAAGUGUAUGGAUUCUCCUUCACCAGGGGGCCAGGUGAUUCUUGAAGGAAUCACAAAGUGAAUAUUCUGAGAUGGAAAAAAAAAAAAAACUCAGGAAAUUUGUCAUUUUUGUAAGAUGCUGAUCUCCUGAAUAUUUCUUCAAGCUACCUAGACACGUGUCUGAUCUAAAUAAGGAGGCUGCUUCAGAAAUUCUUCACAAAUACCCCAAGAAAUCAUAGAAUGGGGGUCUGUGACCUUUGCCUUCACAAAAAAAAUGUUUAAAUCUUCCCACUGAUCAAAGAAUGAAAAUAUCAUUAAAAAUAGUUUCAGAGAGAUUGGAACAGGAAGCAGAAGAUGUUAGUA